rnacentral:tRNA from 2 species
GCCCGUAUAGCUCAGCUGGCAGAGCAUCUGACUCUUAAUCAGAGGGUCCUAGGUUCGAUCCCUAGUGCGGGCA